AGUGAACGCCGGCGGUAGGCCUAACACAUGCAAGUCGAACGGCAGCACAGUAAGAGCUUGCUCUUACGGGUGGCGAGUGGCGGACGGGUGAGGAAUACAUCGGAAUCUACUUUUUCGUGGGGGAUAACGUAGGGAAACUUACGCUAAUACCGCAUACGACCUACGGGUGAAAGCAGGGGAUCUUUGGACCUUGCGCGAUUGAAUGAGCCGAUGUCGGAUUAGCUAGUUGGCGGGGUAAAGGCCCACCAAGGCGACGAUCCGUAGCUGGUCUGAGAGGAUGAUCAGCCACACUGGAACUGAGCCACGGUCCAGACUCCUACGGGAGGCAGCAGUGGGGAAUAUUGGACAAUGGGCGCAAGCCUGAUCCAGCCAUACCGCGUGGGUGAAGAAGGCCUUCGGGUUGUAAAGCCCUUUUGUUGGGAAAGAAAAGCAGCAGGUUAAUACCCCGCUGUUCUGACGGUACCCAAAGAAUAAGCACCGGCUAACUUCGUG
rnacentral:rRNA from 1 species